GGUGAAGAAGCUCAGUGGUAGAGCACUUGCUUGCCAAGUCUGAGGCCCUGAGUGUGAUCCUCAGCACCA
rnacentral:tRNA from 1 species